AGAACGAACGCUGGCGGCAGGCCUAACACAUGCAAGUCGAGCGCCCGUAGCAAUACGGGAGCGGCAGACGGGUGAGUAACACGUGGGAACGUGCCCAAAGGUACGGAACAACUCCGGGAAACUGGAGCUAAUACCGUAUGUGCCCGAAAGGGGAAGAUUUAUCGCCUUUGGAUCGGCCCGCGUCUGAUUAGCUAGUUGGUGAGGUAAUGGCUCACCAAGGCGACGAUCAGUAGCUGGUCUGAGAGGAUGAUCAGCCACACUGGGACUGAGACACGGCCCAGACUCCUACGGGAGGCAGCAGUGGGGAAUAUUGGACAAUGGGCGCAAGCCUGAUCCAGCCAUGCCGCGUGAGUGAUGAAGGCCCUAGGGUUGUAAAGCUCUUUCGGCGGGACGAUAAUGACGGUACCCGCAGAAGAAGCCCCGGCUAACUUCGUGCCAGCAGCCGC
rnacentral:rRNA from 1 species